rnacentral:lncRNA from 1 species
CAAGUAGAAGGAAUCCACUGUUUACGCGAACAAAAUCUCUCCUGUAUGUACACGGCGUCGCACAAGUACAAGUUACAACCACAAGUUAUUUACCAACCAUGAAUACAUUCACCACAUCACAUAAUCACGAAUUACAUUCAUAAAUCCACAUUUAUCAUUUAGAAUCAUUUCCCACCCAGAAACUCAUUUCAAAAUACUAAAAUUACAAAAGUAAAAAUCCUUUUUAAAAUUACUUUUCACACAAAAACUUUUUCUUUUAAAAGUAAGCUAC